rnacentral:rRNA from 1 species
CAGCCGCCACGGGAAUACAGAGGAUGCAAGCGUUAUCCGGAAUGAUUGGGCGUAAAGCGUCUGUAGGUGGCUUUUCAAGUCCGCCGUCAAAUCCCAGGGCUCAACCUUGGACAGGCGGUGGAAACUACCAAGCUGGAGUACGGUAGGGGCAGAGGGAAUUUCCAGUGGAGCGGUGAAAUGCGUUGAGAUCGAAAAGAACACCAACAGCGAAAGCACUCUGCUGGGACGACACUGACACUAAGAGACAAAAGCUAGGGGAGCAAAUGGGAUUAGAUACCCCCGUAGUCCCUGUCUCUUAUAC